rnacentral:lncRNA from 13 species
GUUGACUUGCUGACCGAGAGAAACAACACAAGCUCUGGAUGCAGUGAAUACUGAAUAUACACGGAGUGUAAAAAAACACGUUCUCUUAUUUAGUUGAACCCCUUUUGCCCUCAGAACAGCCUCAAUUUGUCGGGGCAUGGACUACAAGUUGUCGAAAGCGUUCCACAGGGAUGCUGGCCCAUGUUGACUCCAAUGCUUCCCACAGUUGUGUCAAGUUGGCUGGAUGUCCAUUGGGUGGUGGACCAUUCUUGAUACACACAGGAAACUGUUUGUAUUUCUUUAUUGAAUAAUUAUUUGUUCCAUAUUUACAUUACAUUUCACAACACAUUAAGUGUGUGCCCUUUAGGCCACUACUCUACUACCACAUACUAUCCACAACACAAAAUCUGUGUGUAUAGUGCGUAUGUCAUGUGUGUAUGCGUGUGUCUGUGCCUGUGUGAGUGUCUGUCUAACAGACCACUGUAAAUCUUUUGUCUUGCCCAUUCAGCCUCUGAAUGGCACACAUACACAAUCCAUAUCCCAAUUGUCUCAAGGGUUGAAAAUCAUUCUUUAACCUGUCUCCUCCCCUUCAUCUACACUGAUUGACGUGGGUGUGCUGAGGAUUAUUUUUGUCCGCUCAUACAAAGGCCUAGUUUACACAUCUUGUGAUUUAUUAUUAUUAUUUUGUAUUACUAUUAUUUAUUUAUUUAGAUUUACCAGAGGGUGCUGCAGCACACUCAACACCCCUACUUCCCGCUGCUAUGCAAGGGGCUGGAUCUGGAUGGACCAUGGAGUCAUCACCAGUAAUAGGUUUUGGAAUGCUGACCCCAUCCACCACAGAGGGCAAAGUCCUCCUGGUAAUCUACGGCCUGCUGGGCUGCUCUGCCAUCCUCUUCUUCAACCUCUUCCUGGAGAGGGUCAUCACCAUGUUGGGCUUCCUCGUGCGAUGGUGCCACCGGAGGAGAACACACAACAGCAGGCAACGGGACAACAGCAACCAACCCAAGGGUGGAGGAGAGGAAAGAGACAUGGAGGGUGGAAAAGAUGGGUGGAGGCCCUCUGUGUAAUCUGUCACUCUCGUACUUUUUGAUGCUACCCUAGUGUGUGGCGUGUGGUGCUUCCAUGCUUUACUCUGCCAUGGAGGGCUGGAGCUACAUCGUGUCCCUGUAAUUUU